UACAGAGGUGGCAAGCGUUAAUCGGAAUUACUGGGCGUAAAGCGCGCGUAGGCGGCUUUGCAAGUCGGGUGUGAAAUCCCCAGGCUUAACCUGGGAACUGCCUUUGAUACAGCACGUCUCGAGUCCGGAAGAGGUGGGUGGAAUUCCUAGUGUAGAGGUGAAAUGCGUAGAUUAGUACAGGACGGAACGCCGGUAGGCGCAAGG
rnacentral:rRNA from 1 species